GACGAACGCUGGCGGCGUGCCUAAUACAUGCAAGUAGGACGCAGUUGCGAACGGGUGAGUAACGCGUAGGUAACUACCUAUUAGAGGGGGAUAACUAUUUGAAACGAUAGCUAAUACCGCAUACUAGUAGAUGGACCUGCGUUGUAUUAGCUAGUAGGUCGGGUAAUGGCCUCCCUAGGCAACGAUACAUAGCCGACCCGGAGAGGUGGUCGGGCACAAUGGGACUGAGGCACGGGCCAGACUCCCAAGGGAGGCAACAGUAGGGAAUUAUCGGAAAAGGGGGGAAACCUUACCGAGCAACGCCGCGGGAGUGAAGAAGGUUUUCGGAUCGGAAAGGUAUGUUGUUAAGGAAGCGGUACUUAACCAGAAAGGGACGGCUAACUACGUGCCAGCAGCCGCGGUAAUAC
rnacentral:rRNA from 1 species